UUUGCUACAGGAAUUGCAGGAAUUUCUCAUGCUGCUGAUAGCGUCAUGGCUAUUAAAUACGGGAAUGUUCAAGUUAUUCGUGAUGAAG
rnacentral:tRNA from 2 species